rnacentral:rRNA from 1 species
UAGGGAAUCUUGCGCAAUGGGCGAAAGCCUGACGCAGCAACGCCGCGUGGGGGAUGAAGGCUCUCGGGUUGUAAACCCCUUUCAGUGGGGACGAAUCAAGACGGUACCCACAGAAGAAGCUCCGGCUAACUACGUGCCAGCAGCCGCGGUAACACGUAGGGGGCAAGCGUUGUCCGGAUUUAUUGGGCGUAAAGAGCUCGUAGGUGGUUCGGUAAGUCGGGUGUUAAACCCCCAGGCUCAACCUGGGGACGCCACUCGAUACUGCUGUGACUAGAGUCCGGUAGGGGAGCGUGGAAUUCCUGGUGUAGCGGUGAAAUGCGCAGAUAUCAGGAGGAACACCAGCGGCGAAGGCGGCGCUCUGGGCCGGUACUGACACUGAGGAGCGAAAGCGUGGGUAGCAAACA